UGCAAGUCGAACGAGAGAGAAGGAGCUUGCUUCUUCGAUCGAGUGGCGAACGGGUGAGUAACGCGUGAGGAACCUGGCUCAAAGAGGGGGACAACAGUUGGAAACGACUGCUAAUACCGCAUAAGCCCACGGGUCGGCAUCGACCUGAGGGAAAAGGAGCAAUCCGCUUUGAGAUGGCCUCGCGUCCGAUUAGCUAGUUGGUGAGGUAACGGCCCACCAAGGCGACGAUCGGUAGCCGGACUGAGAGGUUGAACGGCCACAUUGGGACUGAGACACGGCCCAGACUCCUACGGGAGGCAGCAGUGGGGAAUAUUGCACAAUGGGGGAAACCCUGAUGCAGCGACGCCGCGUGGAGGAAGAAGGUCUUCGGAUUGUAAACUCCUGUUGUUGAGGAAGAUAAUGACGGUACUCAACAAGGAAGUGACGGCUAACUACGUGCCAGCAGCCGCGGUAAAACGUAGGUCACAAGCGUUGUCCGGAAUUACUGGGUGUAAAGGGAGCGCAGGCGGGAAGACAAGUUGGAAGUGAAAUCUAUGGGCUCAACCCAUAAACUGCUUUCAAAACUGUUUUUCUUGAGUAGUGCAGAGGUAGGCGGAAUUCCCGGUGUAGCGGUGGAAUGCGUAGAUAUCGGGAGGAACACCAGUGGCGAAGGCGGCCUACUGGGCACCAACUGACGCUGAGGCUCGAAAGUGUGGGUAGCAAACAGGAUUAGAUACCCUGGUAGUCCACACCGUAAACGAUGAUUACUAGGUGUUGGAGGAUUGACCCCUUCAGUGCCGCAGUUAACACAAUAAGCAUUCCACCUGGGGAGUAC
rnacentral:rRNA from 1 species